rnacentral:rRNA from 1 species
AUGAGAAGCUUCUUGCCUCUGUGCGCGCUCCUCCUCGUCCUGCUCUGCUUGGCGAGCCUCAUGGACGUCACGGAAGGAAGGUUCCGAGCCGCAGGCGGCGGAGCACGAAGCAGCAACAGCAGCAGCGGCGGCAGCCCGGGUACCCUGAGCGGCGGCACCUGGGCGGCGUGCGUCGGCUCCACACUGCUCGCCGCGGCGCCCAUGCUGCUUUAA